rnacentral:lncRNA from 1 species
CGACGCCGCCGCACCGAGCCCCGCGGGCACCGGGAGCCCCCAGAGCCCCCCCCGAGUGACCCGAGCCCCCCCGGGGGCGACGCCGCCCGCAGCGCUUUGUCUGGGAGCGCUGAGGAACGGGAGGGGGGAACAAAGCGGCAGCACGAGGAGCGGCAGCGGAGGGGGGGAAGCCCGACCCCAAAGGAUAAAGCCCGACCCCAAAGGGUAAAGCACGGCCUGGGGGCAAGGGGCUGAGCCCCAGCCCCGUGCUCGGCCCAGAACCCGGCAAAGACGGGAGAAAGGCUCGGAACCGGGCUGGGAGAGGAGGGACCCGCGCUGGGUGCGUGCUCCAGGCCCUGGAGCUGCCCCACGAACGCCUCUGCAGCUGGGGCAAAACAGGAAAUCAGAAUUUUUCAUUUCGGGUGUCAAACGCACAGCCUGGGUGGCACGGGUAAGCCCGGCUUUAUUAGCACAGAACUUGGUUUUUGGCACCCUGUCCCCCAGCUGCCCCCAGGACGCAGGGGCCGUGCCCUGCAGGAGGAACCAGGCCCAGGAGGCACAGCCCCAGUGCCCAGCCCCCAGUCCCAGGCUGGUCCCAGCCUCGCCACCAUCACCAGCACGGACCAGGCAGAGCCCUGGGAGCCCCAGAAGGUUCUGCCGGAGGGUCCCGACCACAUCCCGGCCAGAAACGGCCGUCCCCAUCCACCCGCGCUGCUGUCAGCAGUUUCGCUGGUGUCACAAGGCCAGAAGGAGCCACGGACGCAGGACUUCCCUCUUCCCCUCAGCGGCUGGAGGAAGGCGACAGCAAAAGCGAAACGACCCAAGGGACGUGGGAACGCCAGCCCCGUGGCACACAAAGCCCACAGCAGGUCCUCAGCAAGCAGCUGCCUCCCCAGGGAAGCUUUACGGGCUCUGGGUAAGGACCUGGGGCCCUGCCUGUGCUCGGAGCAUCCCUGCAAAAGGCGUCGAGCUCGGGGCUGUCUCGCCCUGCUCCCAGCACACAGCGGUGUAUGCAGCAAGAGAAAUUCCUCCUGGGAGCACGGGUUGGUGCAGGGAUGUGCAGCGUCUCCCAGAAUGUGACCCCGUGUCCUGGGGGUGUUAUUUAAGCAUUCCUUGUGGCAGCAGCCCCAAGCCCGCGGUGCCUCAAGCUGCCAGCUUUGAGGGGUCUUCCCAGCUCUGCCUCAGUCCAGGCUCAGCAGUUUCAGGACAGGAGCCCUGGAGCUGGGGCAGGAGGGGGCAUUUCUGUGAUUUUCCCUGGUGCACACAGGUUGGGAUCGGUGGCUGCCCGGGCCUCCCGUCACAUCCCACGGGACAGGGAGGGCACCCAGCUCCCUGCACCCGCAGCAUCCACCUGGUGCACGGCAGAAGCCAUCCCUGAAACUAAGAAAUGG